rnacentral:rRNA from 1 species
UACGGGGGGAGCAAGCGUUGUUCGGAUUUACUGGGCGUAAAGGGCGGGUAGGCGGCCACUGCAAGUCGGUUGUGAAAUCUCCGGGCUUAACCCGGAAAGGUCAACCGAUACUGCAGGGCUAGAGUGCAGAAGGGGCAACUGGAAUUCUCGGUGUAGCGGUGAAAUGCGUAGAUAUCGGGAGGAGCACCUGUGGCGAAAGCGGCUCACUGGACCAUAACUGACGCUGAGGCGCGAAAGCUAGGGGAGCAAACAGG